GCAUGACAAAAUCAGUCAGUAGAGCAUGAGACUGUUAAUCACAGAGCCAUGGGUUCAAGCCCCAGGUUGGGCA